UGCUCUAUUAACCCCAGUCUUCUUCCCUCACUCUUCUAUCAUCAUUUCCUCCUCUAAACAAUCUCUAGAAAUUAAAGGAAAAAUUUUAGGACCUCAAAUUCAAAAAUUGAGUUCAACCCGUCGUCUAUUUACGGCUGAAUUGCUCUUCUGCAAAGGCUAAAGCCGGACCCAGGCCCCUACCUAAAUCCAGCCAGUUGGAUCGAACCCCUGACUUCCUCCUUACUUUCUAUUAAAUUUUGAGUACGAGAGGAGCUUGCAGCAGUAAACCGGGCAGAGCUUACGCCAGGCUUUUAGCAUUAUGAAAGUUAGUAUUUUGUUAAGCUUAUGAUAUCGUAUAUCACGGGGAUGGAUCUGGGUAGUCUUAUGUUGAUUAAGAACCAUGCUUUUCUUAUAUUUUGUUGUACAUAAAAAUGUGGGUAUCUUGCUCACUGGAUAGUUUUAAAUAUCGGCGUUUGACUCAUGUUUUAUCGUAUUUUGUUGUAUAUAUAUAAAUAGAAUGCUAAGCCCUGAUCUUUUUUGGAUUUUGUAGUGGACUACACAGUGUAUUGGACUACACAGUGUAUUUGGGUCUGAACAUAUAUAUUACUGGCUCUAUGAACUCCUACUUACAUAUUCCUAUGUGUUCUGUUAUUUGGGUGGUAGGAGGUCCUGUUUGCAUAAUACUUUUUCUUAAGGAGUUAAUUAAAUUAGUUCCUUCUUAGAUUUAUCUAAAUUAUGUUGUCAUCCACAUUAACUUCAAAACUGUUCAUGUACUUAAGUGUAGUGUAUACACGCAGCUUUUUGUUUCAUUUUGGAACUUGUCUAAUUUAAGUUCAGAUUUUUUUUAAAAUCAACUGCUAUGUGCACUAAAUGAUGUGCAUAGUUGUUUUCUUACGAAAUUCCUAUUUGUAUAAUGUCUGUUAUUUUUCUACUUUCAUAUUGCUCUUUAAUUUACUUGCCUUUGUAGGUGUACCUAUUUGAAUACUUAGUGUUGUUUGUUAAUGAAUAUCGGAUCCAGGUCUUUCAUUUAUGCAGCCAAUUUAAUUUCCUGUCACUUGAUAUUUAAACUUGACAAGUCCUCUCAAUGUUUUAAUGAACUUCUGUUUAUAAGUCUGCCUUAUGUAUCACCUUGGGCCACAUUUAAACUAAGCUUUAGGUGUUCUUAAAUUUCGCAAUUCUUGCUUUUGUAUGAGUUACUUGACCCUGCCAGUAACAAAAAUAAGUGAUUUUUCGUUAUCUAUUUUUAUUUUGUUUCCAGCCUUGAACCAUGGUAGCUGAUUUUCAUUUAAGUGAAUGUAUAGUUUUAUUUUAUUUUCCUUUCGAGUGGCGUACCGGGGUUUAGCCCUGUUGGAUGGGUUGAAAUCCGACCCAUUCAAAGGGAGAAUUCACUAGUCCGUUACAUGAACCCGGAUAGAGCCCAAAGGAUCAAAGAAUUUUCACUCUGGCGCAUGGUGUUUUAUAGUCCUGUCAGUGCGGUGUUUAUUUUAUGGGGGAAAGAUAUGCUAUACAGUUAGUUGGUCGAGUUGGAGAGCCACAUAAACCUCCACGUUUAGCUACCGUGGAUGGCUCGAAAUACGUAUCACAGAAGAGAAAAAGAUGGAUAAGAGCCAGUAAUUGUUAGAGAGUAUUAAACAUCUACGCGCUGGAUGUAAAGCAUUACCCAAAUUGGAGAUUUCAACACAGCCACCACCAAUGGUUCCAACUGGUUAAAAAAAAAAUUCAACACAGCCACCACCAAUGGUUCCAACUUUUACCAGUUAUCCUUCGGCGGGAGCUUCUUCUUCAUCAACUCCUUCAAGACGACAAACUAGAUCUUCUUACUCAUUGGCUGGGUCUGAUUUAUCAGUUUUGAGUUGGAAGCCAGAGACUUAUAAUCUUGAUGAAUGGCGUCAGAUGGUUCCCACUGUCUCACAAGGUAUCUAUCGUCCUAAUUCUUAUACAGGCACAUCGGCAAGUCAAGAAUAAUUAAGAAAACAAUUGAAUUAAAUGGAGUUAAGAGAUAUUGAAACCAGACGUGUAUAUACGUCAAUAAAUACGUGUAAUGGGGAAAACUAUGAACUUCCGUCCAUAUUUUUCUCACCAUUCAACAACUCCACAUUCUCAGGAAAUAGUGUAUGACUCACAAGUACCUAUUAGGCCACAAUGUUUCAAUUGUCCUAGUGCAACAAUCUCCAUAUCUUCAUGCCAGUCAACAACCUCCUCAAGAUUAUCAAGAUUAUAUGAGAUCAUUAAACUUUUAUGGCUCUCAAACUAUAGGACAUGUCCAUGGAUUGGAUAUCAAAGUGGAGGAAUCCCUACUGGUGAAGCGUCUCAAGCUGCAGGAUCAUUAUAUCAAGGAUUUAGGAUUUUGAUGCAGGUGGACACGUAUGACAAAAGCUGGAAUGAGACUGAGUAGUUAUAAUUAUGUAUUAUUUAAUAUUUGUAACUGAAACCGAGAUUAAGCCUAUUUAUAUACAGUAGAACUAACUAAUGAAAUAAAAGGAAACUAGUAUUAAAUUUUAAA